UCCGACGUGGUGUAGUGGCUAGCAUACCGCGCUUUCACCGCGGCGAUCCGGGUUCGACUCCCGGCGCCGGAA
rnacentral:tRNA from 1 species